UGGGGAAUUUUGGACAAUGGGCGAAAGCCUGAUCCAGCAAUGCCGCGUGUGUGAAGAAGGCCUUCGGGUUGUAAAGCACUUUUGUCCGGAAAGAAAUCCUUUGGGCUCUAAUACAGUCGGGGGGAUGACGGUACCGGAAGAAUAAGCACCGGCUAACUACGUGCCAGCAGCCGCGGUAAUACGUAGGGUGCAAGCGUUAAUCGGAAUUACUGGGCGUAAAGCGUGCGCAGGCGGUUUGCUAAGACCGAUGUGAAAUCCCCGGGCUAACCUGGGAACUGCAUUGGUGACCUGGCAGGCUAGAGUAUGGCAGAGGGGGGUAGAAUUCCACGUGUAGCAGUGAAAUGCUAGAGAUGUGGAGGAAUACCGAUGGCGAAGGCAGCCACCUGGGCCAAUACUGACGCUCAUGCACGAAAGCGUGGGGGAGCAAACAGG
rnacentral:rRNA from 1 species